AUUGAACGCUGGCGGCAGGCCUAACACAUGCAAGUCGAACGAGUGGCGGACGGGUGAGUAAUGUAUGGGAAACUGCCCCCUGGAGGGGGAUCACUACUGGAAACGGUAGCUAAUACCGCAUACCAUCGGAUGUGCCCAGAUGGGAUUAGCUUGUAGGUGAGGUAACGGCUCACCUAGGCGACGAUCCGUAGCUGGUCUGAGAGGAUGACCAGUAACACGGGAACGGGGACAGGCACCAGCCUCCUACGGGAGGCAGCAGUGGGGAAUAUAGCACAAUGGGCGAAAGCCUGAUGCAGCCAUGCCGGGUGUAUGAAGAAGGCCUUCGGGUUGUAAAGUACUUUCAGCGGGGAGGCGUUACCUGCAGAAGAAGCACCGGCUAACUCCGUGCCAGCAGCCGCGGUAAUAC
rnacentral:rRNA from 1 species